rnacentral:rRNA from 1 species
GUAACACUAACUGGAGGACCGAACCGACUAAUGUUGAAAAAUUAGCGGAUGACCUGUGGCUGGGGGUGAAAGGCCAAUCAAACCGGGAGAUAGCUGGUUCUCCCCGAAAGCUAUUUAGGUAGCGCCUCGUGAAUUCAUCUCCGGGGGUAGAGCACUGUUUCGGCUAGGGGGCCAUCCCGGCUUACCAACCCGAUGCAAACUGCGAAUACCGGAGAAUGUUAUCACGGGAGACACACGGCGGGUGCUAACGUCCGUCGUGAAGAGGGAAACAACCCAGACCGCCAGCUAAGGUCCCAAAGUCAUGGUUAAGUGGGAAACGAUGUGGGAAGGCCCAGACAGCCAGGAUGUUGGCUUAGAAGCAGCCAUCAUUUAAAGAAAGCGUAAUAGCUCACUGGUCGAGUCGGCCUGCGCGGAAGAUGUAACGGGGCUAAACCAUGCACCGAAGCUGCGGCAGCGACACUCAGGUGUUGUUGGGUAGGGGAGCGUUCUGUAAGCCUGCGAAGGUGGCCUGUGAGGGUUGCUGGAGGUAUCAGAAGUGCGAAUGCUGACAUAAGUAACGAUAAAGCGGGUGAAAAGCCCGCUCGCCGGAAGACCAAGGGUUCCUGUCCAACGUUAAUCGGGGCAGGGUGAGUCGACCCCUAAGGCGAGGCCGAAAGGCGUAGUCGAUGGGAAACGGGUUAAUAUUCCCGUACUUGGUGUUACUGCGAAGGGGGGACGGAGAAGGCUAUGUUGGCCGGGCGACGGUUGUCCCGGUUUAAGCGUGUAGGUGUGUGUUCCAGGUAAAUCCGGUU